rnacentral:rRNA from 1 species
GAUGAACGCUAGCUACAGGCUUAACACAUGCAAGUCGAGGGGCAGCGCAGUGUAGCAAUACAUGGGCGGCGACCGGCGCACGGGUGCGUAACGCGUAUCCAACCUUCCCGUUACUCUUGGAUAGCCUUCCGAAAGGGAGAUUAAUAUAAGAUGGUAUUCAAAUUCCGCAUGUUAUUUGAAUUAAAGAUUUAUCGGUAACGGAUGGGGAUGCGUGACAUUGGAUAGUAGGAGGGGUAACGGCCCACCUAGUCUACGAUGUCUAGGGGUUCUGAGAGGAAGGUCCCCCACACUGGAACUGAGACACGGUCCAGACUCCUACGGGAGGCAGCAGUGAGGAAUAUUGGUCAAUGGUCGGAAGACUGAACCAGCCAAGUAGCGUGAAGGAUGAAGGUUCUAUGGAUUGUAAACUUCUUUUAUACGGGAAUAAAACACCUUACGUGUAGGGUCUUGUAUGUACCGUAUGAAUAAGCAUCGGCUAACUCCGUGCCAGCAGCCGCAGUAAAAC